AUAAUGGCCAACCCCCAUACACCCCUCCUCUCCUCCCCUCCCCCCACAAGGACCAGCUCAGCUUGCAAAGCCCUCUUGUUCACUCUAUCCCUAGCCACCAUCAUCUCCGUAGCUUCACUCCUCCUCACCUCCCACCCCUCCUCCGACCUCUGCACCGGAUCCCCCGACCCCUCCUCCUGCAACUCCAUCGUCUCUCGUGCCCUUCUUCUCAACAGCAAUCACUCCACUCACGCCCUCACCGCCUUCAACAACAUUCUAGACAAAUCAAGUACAACACUCAACUCUGCCAUCACCGCCGCCAACUCCAUCAACGGAGUUGACCCAGCCCUCGCCGACUGCAUCCACCUCCUCGACCUCUCACUUGACCGACUCACCACCGCAGCCGGCCCCAAUGCCCGCACCUGGCUCAGCGCCGUCCUCACCAACUACGUCACCUGCCUCGAUGGACUCAACGGUGCCACCAAAUCCACCAUGGAGCCACACCUCCAAACCCUAAUAUCUCUUGCCAGUGCUUCCCUUGCAGUGCUCAACUCCGUCGACUCCUCCUCCUCUGUAUUCACUCCAAUUGUCAGACAGUUUCCGGCGUGGGUGUCUGUGGCUGACCGGAAGCUUCUUGAAGCUCCAUCGGCGAGGGCAAUAAAGGCGAAUGUGGUGGUGGCGAAGGACGGGAGUGGGAACUACAAGACGGUGCAGCAGGCCGCGGACUCUGCACCAGAUAAUGGCAAAGCGAGGUAUGUGAUUUAUGUGAAGAAGGGGGUGUAUAAGGAGAAUGUGAGUAUUGGGAAGAAGAAGAAGAAUGUGAUGGUGGUCGGGGACGGGAUGGAUGCGACGGUCAUCACCGGAAGCCUCAACUUCGUCGACGGCACCACCACCUUCAACUCUGCCACCUUGGCUGCUGUUGGAGACGGCCUGAUCCUGCAAGACCUUAAGAUCGAGAACACCGCCGGCGCCAUAAAGCACCAAGCCGUCGCCCUCCGCGUCGGCGCCGACCAAGCAGUCAUCAACCGCUGCAAAAUCGAAGCCUAUCAAGACACCCUCUACACCCACUCCCUCCGCCAGUUCUACCGCGACAGCACCAUCUCCGGCACUAUCGACUUCAUCUUCGGCAACGCCGCCGUCGUCUUCCAGAACUGCAAACUCGUUGCUCGUCGCCCCAUGAGUAACCAACAGAAUCUCGUCACAGCCCAAGGCCGCACAGACCCGAACCAGAACACUGGCACUUCUAUCCAGAACUGUCAAGUAGUGCCGUCCCCCGAGCUUGUUCCGGUGAAAGCGACGCUGCCGACGUACCUCGGGAGGCCGUGGAAGGAGUACUCGAGGACGGUGUACAUGCAGUCGUACAUUGAUAGUCAUGUUCAUCCUAAGGGCUGGCUUGAGUGGGAUGGUAGCUUUGCUCUGAACACAUUGUUCUAUGGGGAGUAUCUCAAUCGGGGGCCGGGGGCGGGAACGGCGGGGAGGGUGAAGUGGCGA
rnacentral:misc_RNA from 1 species